ACAUGCCACACAUCUCGGAUAGCAGAGCCAGCAUCGGCUGUCUUGUGGAAGAGUCGGUCACGGUCACAUCUGGGAGCGGCACUGUCGUUCCUGUCUCGUAUGUGCUCCUGUGUCACAUGUCACCUGUCAUCUUCAGAACCUGGAGGUUAUGACUUCGAGAAGCCAAGGCCUGCUCAGGUGACGACAGCUUCAGAGAAGCAGGAGGUAGAGAAUUCUGGGCUUUGAGUUCUGCUCACAAGACCGGGGCAUCAAGCUGCUGCAUCUUAGCCUGCUUCUUAGAUGAAGAUGUUAACAGCGCAGACUUCCUUUCCCAGUGUCUGGUGUCUCUGGAUUAGACCCUCCUAACAUAGAUACUCCUCUAUUUUCCCUGCUUUUUGGAGACAGGGGUUUAUUAUGUAGCCCAGGUUAGCUUCAAACUAGAGUUCUUAUUGC
rnacentral:lncRNA from 1 species